UAAUACGUAGGGUGCGAGCGUUAAUCGGAAUUACUGGGCGUAAAGCGUGCGCAGGCGGCUCUAUAAGACAGAUGUGAAAUCCCCGGGCUUAACCUGGGAACUGCGUUUGUGACUGUAGGGCUUGAGUGCGGCAGAGGGGGGUGGAAUUCCACGUGUAGCAGUGAAAUGCGUAGAGAUGUGGAGGAACACCGAUGGCGAAGGCAGCCCCCUGGGUCGACACUGACGCUCAUGCACGAAAGCGUGGGGAGCAAACAGGAUUAGAUACCCUGGUAGUCCACGCCCUAAACGAUGCGAACUAGGUGUUGGGGAAGGAGACUUCUUUAGUACCGUAGCUAACGCGUGAAGUUCGCCGCCUGGGGAGUACGGUCGCAAGAUUAAAACUUAAAUGAAUUGACGG
rnacentral:rRNA from 1 species